CCUACGUGCGGCAGCAGUGGGGGAUAUUGCACAAUGUGGGAAACCCUGAUGCAGCGACGCCGCGUGGGUGAAGAAGCGCCUCGGCGCGUAAAGCCCUUUCAGCAGGGAAGAAAAUGACGGUACCUGAAGAAGUAGCCCCGGCUAAAUACGUGCCAGCAGCCGCGGUAAUACGUAGGGGGCACGCGUUAUCCGGAUUUACUGGGUGUAAAGGGGGCGCAGACGGCGAUGCAAGCCAGGAGUGAAAGGCCGGGGCCCAAACCCAGGACUGCUCUUGGAACUGCGUGGCUAGAGUGCAGGAGGGGCAGGCGGAAUUCCUGGUGUAGCGGUGAAAUGCGUAGAUAUCAGGAGGAACACCGGUGGCGAAGGCGGCCUGCUGGACUGCAACUGACGUUGAGGCCCGAAAGCGUGGGGAGCAAACAGGAUUAGAUACCCUGGUAGUC
rnacentral:rRNA from 1 species